CUUUUAUCAAGGAAGAAAAGCAAAUGGCGAACCAUUUGUUUGCCGGUACUUGAUGAAUAAGCCCCGGCUAAUUAUGUGCCAGCAGCCGCGGUAAGACAUAAGGGGCAAGUGUUAUCCGGAAUUAUUGGGCGUAAAGGGUGCGUAGGCGGUCUAGUAAGUCAGUGGUGUAAUGGCAACGCUUAACGUUGUCCGGCUAUUGAAACUGCUAAACUUGAGUUAGAUAGAGGCGAGUGGAAUUCCAUGUGUAGCGGUAAAAUGCGUAAAUAUAUGGAGGAACACCAGAGGCGUAGGCGGCUCGCUGGGUCUUAACUGACGCUGAGGCACGAAAGCGUGGGGAGCAAACAGGAUUAGAUACCCUGGUAGUCCACGCCGUAAACGAUGAGUACUAAGUGUCGGGUUAAACCGGUACUGAAGUUAACACAUUAAGUACUCCGCCUGAGUAGUACGUACGCAAGUAUGAAACUUAAAGGAAUUGACGGGACUCCGCACAAGCGGUGGAUCAUGUUGUUUAAUUCGAAGAUACCCGAAAAACCUUACCAGGUCUUGACAUGUUUUUGCAAAAUGAUAGUAAUAUCGUGGAGGUUACCAGAAACACAGGUGGUGCAUGGUUGUCGUCAGCUCGUGUCGUGAGAUGUUAGGUUAAGUCCUAAAACGAGCGAAACCCUUAUCGUUAGUUGCCAGCACGUUAUGGUGGGGACUUUAACGAGACUGCCAAUGAUAAAUUGGAGGAAGGUGAGGAUCACGUCAAAUCAGCAUGCCCCUUAUGACCUGGGCUACGAACUUAAUACAAUGGCUGUUACAAAGAGUACUGUAAAAAGGGAAAAAAA
rnacentral:rRNA from 1 species